CAUGACUUCUUCUCAGCUUAGUGACAGUGGUGAUGGAACACAGGGAAAGAUGGAAAACCCUUGGAGGUGGACUCGGGAGUGAAUCAUGGCUGAGUUCAGUGAGCGUGUUUCUCAGCUGUGGAAUACAGACACAGCUUCACCACCUUUCUGUUGUUGGUCUAGUGUAGAUCACUCCUCCUUCUGUCCCUGGUGCCUCACCCACUGCCUGCUUAAGGGUGAGUCCUUAAUUGUGUUCUAUAAACUCUGCAGUUGCUGGCUUGCCCAUGUCUCACUUAAGUGGAAUACUGCCUGGAUCCCAACUGUAGUUAAGUUUCAAGUUUGUUCAGGGCAAAAUGAACUUCCUUGUAACUUUUUUCAGUGUAACUCUCAAAAACAGUCACCAACUUUGGCAGAAGAUGAGGCCUCCUUAAUGACUGUACAAAGGUGGUUUUCAGGCCAACCCUGGGUGCCAUGCCCGUCUUGCUGGCCGUGAAGCCAGCUAGGCCUGCAGUGCUCAGUAGGUGGCGCUCGUGCUCUCUCUGUGCCGCAGCCAUCGCGGAGGGUGUGGGUUUGGGCUGCAGGAAUGCAGAUACAUCGUCAACUCAAAGCGGCUUCCUUGGGUCGGCAGCAGCAUAAACCCAUUAUCGGCGCGGUGGCAGCUGCUGCUGAACUGUCCUUGCUCGCAGGCAGGUUCAGAGUAAAGGCCUUUGGCAUCUGUGAGGUUGGGCACUGCGAGAAGCAAAACCGCUGACUGAAAUAAGCAGCAGGUGAAGACACAGAAGAUGGCCAGCUCUGAACCAGGAAGCAGGCUCUCACCAGACAUUGAAUCUGCCUGCACCUUGAUUUUGGACUUUCCAGCCUCCAGAACUGUGAGAAAUAAAUUUACGUUGUUUUUAAGCCACUCGGUCUGUGAUAUUUUGGUAUAGCAGUAUGAAGACUAAGACAGUCAACAACAUGCCCCCUAUUUCUAAUUUCAAUUCUUAUAAACAAAGUGAUGGGAAACCGAAACCAUGGGUCACUGAGAUUUGGCUUUUGCUAGUCUCUGGUAGUUCAGCUGGUAAAGAAUCUGCCUGCAAUGCAGGAGAUCCUGGUUCAAUUCCUGGGUUGGGAAGAUCCGCUGGAGAAGGAAUAGGCUACCCACUCCAGUAUUCUUGGGCUUCCCUGAUGGCUGGUAAAGAAUCUGCCUGUUAUGCGGGAGACCUGGGUUUAAUCCCUG
ensembl:lncRNA